rnacentral:lncRNA from 1 species
CAAACACCAGAAUUCUCCCCGGUGGGCGUGUCUUUCACAUAACGUGUUCCUCACAAAGAAAUCCCAACCUGGGAUGUAUGUAGUCCGACGUCAAGCCGCCAUUUCAAAAGCUAAAGAAGCAGCAGGAAUUUUUGUACAUUUUUUUUUAAUUUUUCUAAUAUAUUUUUUUAUUUUUAUUAGCGAGUAGGAAAAUCAUAGCACCUUCUGAAUCUACCUCGCCUGCACCACCGACUGAAGCCUGGAUCAUUUCAGAUGGAUGCAGACACAGGAGACACAGGAGAGAAGAUGACAGAAACUUCCAAGGAUGAGAAACCUGUAACCGAAAACAAAACCAGGGGUCGUGGGUCCAAAGGUCGUGGCCGGGGUGGUCGGAUGAGUCGAGGAGGCAUGCGUGGUGGGCGGGGCAUGAUGAAAGGGUUUGGGCCACCUGGACAUGGGAGGGGUCGAAUGAAGGAUGGAGCCAUGAAUGGACUUCCACCCAUGAGAGGAAUGGGGAGGAUGCGACCAUACCCAGACCUUAGAGGUCAUCGAGGUAGGGGUGGACCAAUGGGUAUGCGCCCUCCUCCUCCACAUCCUCCUCCUCCUCACCCCCCACCUCCUCCACACCUCAGAGGCCCCUUCCCACCCAUCCCCAGGUAA